rnacentral:lncRNA from 1 species
UCAUUAGAAACGUGCAGAUGAAUGUCUGAAAACAGUGAAUAACCGGCUGUUGGUUUAUCCAAGAAUCGACACGAUACAGAGGGCCCACAUUCCAAAAUGUCCAAACACUGCAGCCUCCCUGGUCCAGUGGUGAACAUUCAGAGCAGUGAACACACAGGAGCAGGUGCGUCCACUUUAUAUAUUGACUAUAGUGAUUCUCUGAUGUGCUGUAAAACCUUGUCUCAGGACACAAGGGAGGCCACAACAAGGCUGCCUCACUUCCCUUUGGACAAGGCUUGCAAUGCUCCAAGAUAGGACUUUUUGAAAGUAAGUGCUUCCCACUAACUGUUUUUACUCAGAAUAAUAUUGAUACA